rnacentral:rRNA from 1 species
UACAUGCAAGUCGAGGGGUAGAGAAGGCUUGCUUUCUUGAGACCGGCGCACGGGUGCGUAACGCGUAUGCAACCUACCUUUAUCUGGGGGAUAGCCCGGAGAAAUCCGGAUUAAUACCGCAUAAAAUCACAGAAUAGCAUUAUUUAAUGAUCAAACAUUUAUGGGAUGAAGAUGGGCAUGCGUGUCAUUAGCUAGUUGGCGGGGUAACGGCCCACCAAGGCGACGAUGACUAGGGGAUCUGAGAGGAUGGCCCCCCACACUGGUACUGAGACACGGACCAGACUCCUACGGGAGGCAGCAGUAAGGAAUAUUGGUCAAUGGAGGCAACUCUGAACCAGCCAUGCCGCGUGCAGGAUGACUGCCCUAUGGGUUGUAAACUGCUUUUAUCCGGGAAUAAACCUACUUACGUGUAAGUAGCUGAACGUACCGGAGGAAUAAGGAUCGGCUAACUCCGUGCCAGCAGCCGCGGUAAUACGGAGGAUCCAAGCGUUAUCCGGAUUUAUUGGGUUUAAAGGGUGCGUAGGCGGCCUGUUAAGUCAGGGGUGAAAGACGGUAGCUCAACUAUCGCAGUGCCCUUGAUACUGAUGGGCUUGAAUGGACUAGAGGUAGGCGGAAUGAGACAAGUAGCGGUGAAAUGCAUAGAUAUGUCUCAGAACACCGAUUGCGAAGGCAGCUUACUAUGGUCUUAUUGACGCUGAGGCACGAAAGCGUGGGGAUCAAACAGGAUUAGAUACCCUGGUAGUCCACGCCCUAAACGAUGAACACUCGCUGUUGGCGAUACACAGUCAGCGGCUAAGCGAAAGCGUUAAGUGUUCCACCUGGGGAGUACGCCCGCAAGGGUGAAACUCAAAGGAUUUGACGGGGGCCCGCACAAGCGGAGGAGCAUGUGGUUUAAUUCGAUGAUACGCGAGGAACCUUACCCGGGCUUGAAAGUUAGUGAAUUAUCCAGAGAUGGAUAAGUGAGCAAUCACACGAAACUAGGUGCUGCAUGGCUGUCGUCAGCUCGUGCCGUGAGGUGUUGGGUUAAGUCCCGCAACGAGCGCAACCCCUAUGUUUAGUUGCCAGCACGUUAAGGUGGGGACUCUAAACAGACUGCCUGUGCAAACAGAGAGGAAGGAGGGGACGACGUCAAGUCAUCAUGGCCCUUACGUCCGGGGCUACACACGUGCUACAAUGGAUGGUACAGAGGGCAGCUACAUAGCAAUAUGAUGCGAAUCUCACAAAGCCAUUCACAGUUCGGAUUGGGGUCUGCAACUCGACCCCAUGAAGUUGGAUUCGCUAGUAAUCGCGUAUCAGCAAUGACGCGGUGAAUACGUUCCCGGGCCUUGUACACACCGCCCGUCAAGCCAUGGAAGUUGGGGGUACCUAAAGUAUGUAACCGCAAGGAGCGUCCUAGGGAAA